rnacentral:rRNA from 1 species
UACGUAGGUGGCAAGCGUUAUCCGGAAUUACUGGGCGUAAAGCGCACGCAGGCGGCUUCUUAAGUUUGACGUGAAAGCUCCCGGCUUAACUGGGAGAGGUCGUUGAAGACUGGGAGGCUUGAGGCAAUGAGAGGGGUGUAGAAUUCCCGGUGUAGUGGUGGAAUGCGUAGAUAUCGGGGGGAAUACCAGUGGCGAAAGCGGCACCCUAGCGUUGUUCUGACGCUCAUGUGCGAAAGCGUGGGGAGCGAACGGG